UACGGGGGAUGCAAGCGUUAUCCGGAAUCAUUGGGCGUAAAGCGCCUGUAGGUUGUUUAAUAAGUCUGUUGUUAAAGACUAGGGCUCAACCCUAGGAAAGCAAUGGAAACUACUAGACUAGAGUAUGGCAGGGGUAGAGGGAAUUUCUAGUGUAGCGGUGAAAUGCGUAGAUAUUAGAAAGAACACCAGUGGCGAAAGCGCUCUACUGGACCAUUACUGACACUCAGAGGCGAAAGCUAGGGUAGCAAAAGGGAUUAGAUACCCCUGUAGUCCUAGCCGUAAACGAUGGAUACUAGAUGUUGUACUUUAUGUACAGUGUCCUAGCUAACGCGUUAAGUAUCCCGCCUGGGGAGUACGCUCGCAAGGGUG
rnacentral:rRNA from 1 species